rnacentral:rRNA from 1 species
AGUGAACGCUGGCGGCAGGCCUAACACAUGCAAGUCGAACGGCAGCACAGUAAGAGCUUGCUCUUACGGGUGGCGAGUGGCGGACGGGAGAGGAAUACAACGGACUCUACUUUUUCGUGGGGGUUAACGUAGGGAAACUUACGCCAGUACCGCAUACGCCCUUCGGGUGAAAGCAGGGGAUCUUCGGACCCGGUGGGUGUGGAUGGGCUGAUGUCUUAUUAGCUUGUUGGUGGGGUAGUGGCCUACCCAGGCGUCGAUGGGUAGCCGGCCUGAGAGGGUGACCGGCCACAUUGGGACUGAGAUACGGCCCAGACGCCUACGGGAGGCAGAAGUGGGGAAUAUUGAACAAUGGGCGGAAGCCUGAUGCAGCAACGCCGCGUGCGGGAUGACGGCCUUCGGGUUGUAAACCGCUUUCGCCUGUGACGAAGCGUGAGUGACGGUAAUGGGUAAAGAAGCACCGGCUAACUACGUG